CUGUGGCCAUACUAGUUCCAAAGGCCUAUAGCUGCGUGGUCCUGCCAAGUGGGUAGUUUGACAGGCCCUGCUCACUCCCCUCUCAGCAGGAUUUCCAGGGAAUCUGGAGAUGGGCCAGUUGCAGUGCCGGUACUCUGGCUGGUGUGAGACCAUGGGUACAUGGAUUCCUAUUUCUGCAUCUAAGCAAGCAGAGUAUUGGCUUGGAGAGUGUGUAGAGGGGGUUCUAGCUGGCCCGUUACUUUAUUUGUUUUUAAGAAUUGUGUAGGGUGGGGUGGCCUCACACUUGUUAUCUCACUGAGGCUGGCCCAAACAUCUUUUCUUUCUGCUUACUUCUCCUGAGUGUUGGGAUUACAAGUGUAAACUACCAUGCCUAGACUUUUAUACUCUGUCUUUUUUAUCUGUUCUUCUGGAGGGGUGUGUGUGUGCCCAUGUAUGCUGUUAAAAAAAAAAGUGCUGUGUAACAAGUCACCCCAGACAUGGGGAUAUGAAACAAGGAUGGUCAGGAAUUCAAGGUAUGGGGACAGAAGGGCACUGUGGUUCUAAACCACUUGUAGCUUGCAGCAAUGUGCCUGUUUGGGGCUACCAUCAGCGCAGGGCUCACCUGGAAAGCACCUGCUUCCUGACUCACUCCCUUAGGGAGAUUAAGUUCCUCCUGAAGGAAUCCUGGGCUACUCAGCUAGCAGGAGGGCAGCGCCUGUCCCAUAGAGGGCUCUGAAGAAAAAGCCAAAGCCAGUGUGCUCUGGUGGAGGCUCACCUUGGAAAUGGUACCCAUCACUGCUUUCCUAUCCUAUUUAUUAGGGUGCAUCACUAGGCCUCUCGUGCCCUUGGAGACUAAAUGAGAGUGUUGAUAUAACAAAGCGGGAAUCGUGGAGACAUUUUGGAAGCUUCCCACCUUAGAAAGCAGAGACUGCAUUUCUGGAGACAAACGCAGCAAGUUUCCUAUCUGGCUCUGAUGCUCAUGAUCUCAGGCCAAAGGUUUCAGCCUUGGAGCUUUGGCUUCCCUGACUGUGUGAUACUUGUGGUAGCUGCUGGCUGGGCUGAGCUGAGGUCGCUAGGAGAUGAAGUGACUGUCAGUCUCUAAGCUGUGUCUGGCCUAGUGAAACCUCGACUCCUGGUUGAAAGGACAUUUCUUAGGAGAAGCUGAGUACCAAGCCAUUGCUCCUGAGAUACACAAGUCCCCCUGCAGCGGCCAGCUCCUGGGGACUCGGGACUCCAAAGCCCUUUGGCAAGCCCUGGGCUGCCUCUGUGGCUGAGGCCACAGGUGGGGACAGUGUUGAUCCCCUCUCUGUUCCGUGGCCGUCCCAGCACGACUCGGGCACAGGUGCAGCAGGAAGGAUUAGAUGGGAUUUUCUCCCAGCCCUGCUCAGACCCUGUUCUCGGUGGGCGAAGGAUUUGACCCAAACUCCCCUACACCAUCUGCCCUUCCAGGCUGGAGUCUUUUGUGAGCCUGUCACUGACUCACCACGUUCUUUGACGGUCUUCCUGGGGUCCCAGAUGCCCUGGUCAUGGUCUUGUUCCUUCUAUGGGCCUAAAGAGUCUGUCUAGAAGCAGAAGGCUGAGCCCCAUCCCUGGGCAGCACAGGGCAUUAAAGUAUUUUCCAGGACAUAGCUGGCCUUCCUUGUCAUGCUGCUCUGCUGUCUUGUUCUGAGACAGGGCCUUACCGUGCUCUUUUGAAGAAUUUUUUAUUACUUUGUGGGGUAUGUGUGUGUUGUGCCUGUGAGUACAUGUUGGGCUUGUGGAGGACAGAGAGCAGCUUUCAGGAACGCCUUCCAACUCAGGCUGCUGUCCGGCAUGCACAGCUUCACUUUCUGAGCCUCGCAAUUAUUUUUUGAAAUCCUUCUGCCUCCACCUCCCAAAUGCUGCAAUCACUGAUAGGUACAACCAUACCCUACUCCAAGCUCCAUUCUUUUGGAAGCAGGAGCUCAUGUCUAGGCUGGCUUUGAAUGCACUGUGUUGCCAAGACUGAUCUUGAAACCCUAACCUUCCUGCCUCCAUCUCCUCCAUGGUGAAAUGUCAGGCUGUACUGUUGAGCCCAACUCCCUCAAGAUGAUCUUUUUAUUGUUGUAAUUGUUGUUUUUGCCUUUUAGUUUUAUUUUUAUAUUUCGGAGACAAGGUCUCUGACUGGCCUAGGACUUCCUAUGUAGGCCAGGCUGGCCUUGAACUCAUAGACUCUGGAGGGCUCAACCGCUUCAGUUCUGAAAUUCAAGACUGCAGGCAUGUGCCACCAUGCCAGGUUCCAGGAUGGAUUCUUCCUGCAAUGAGAGGAUAAAUUCCUUCCUAAUCGGCGUUCCCAUCAUCCCCCAUUGUAUGUGGGUAGGGAGGUUGCCCACAGAAGUUUACAAGAUGGCAGCUCUUCAGAACAAAACCAUCAAGAACAAAAGCCUGUUCCACGAGCCCUUCUCCUACUCGCUGCCAUUUGUCCAGUGAAGGAGAUGUGUACAGAGGCAUGAAGGGACGCGCCCGGGAUCACACAGCUUUUAAACUGAGACGACUGUCUUCAGUCACUCACUGACCCAACAGCAAGGCCCAGGCCCUGGCCCAGGCCGUGGAGGACUAUGGUGAGGAUGUGAGCUCUUGACCACCCUGCUCCAGCCACUAUACUGCUUGCUGCCAUGCCUCCCGGUUAUGAUGGACUCUUAUCCGUCCGGAACCAUAAAUACAAAUAAAGUCUUCUAUGAGUUGUCCUGGCCCUGGCCUUUUGUCAAAGUAACACAAAGCUCCUGUGAUGGCACUGUGGCUGUUAGCCUCACCUGCCUACAGCGACUCAGCGCCAGUGGCCACGUCAUCACCAGCUGCCGGAUGUGACACAAGUACCCUUUAAAAGAUCCCCUCCAUUACCAGCCGCUCUCUGUCUCCCAGUCUCUCUGGCUGUCUGUUUGUCUGUCUCUCUUUUGCUAUGUUUGUCUCUUACUCUCUGUUUCUUUGUCUAUCUCUGUCUCUUGUUCUCUCUGUGUGUGUAUGUCUGUCUGUCUGUCUCUGCUCUAUCUCCCUGCCUUCAAUAAAUCUU